rnacentral:rRNA from 1 species
UACGUAGGGGGCAAGCGUUGUCCGGAAUCAUUGGGCGUAAAGAGCGUGUAGGCGGCCAGGCAGGUCUGGUGUGAAAACUCGAGGCUUAACCUCGAGAUGUCAUCGGAAACCAUCUGGCUAGAGUCCGGAAGAGGAGAGUGGAAUUCCUGGUGUAGCGGUGAAAUGCGCAGAUAUCAGGAGGAACACCAGCGGCGAAGGCGGCGCUCUGGGCCGGAACUGACGCUGAGGAGCGAAAGCGUGGGUAGCAAACAGG